GUAAAGAGCUUCCAAGCCAUUACAAUGCAUAUUUGCGUACAUUUAUUAUCUUUGUACGUUGUGAUAUAAGCAGUUGUUUCAUUAACAGUAGCAUGAGAUCUGGAUAAAGCCGCCAUUAGGAUGCCAUCCCUUGGUUGCAAUCAAUUGCACUAAUGAUGUUGAGACGAGAGAGCCCAUAUAAAAGAGGUCUCCUUGGACUCCUGUUCUUUCUUCAUUUCAGACAAUAAGGUUAAACUACUCAAAGAAUGAUGACCUAUACAACCUCAGCAUAUCCUUCUUGUAACUCAUGGGUAUCAAGACUAUAAAUGUUUCAUGUAUCACAACUAGGACCUCACAUCCUCUUCCUCCUCCUCCUCUGUAGAUGGGUACGAUGCAUCCAGUUCAGUUUGUUUACUUUACACAAACCUCAGGAGUUCGUUGACUGAACUGCACAUUCUUUGUUGUGCCAUGCAAAAGCACUGUGACACCUGGACAAUGAGUCUUUUACUUCAUCCUCUGCUAUACAGACUUAGCUGGCCACAAUGAACUGAUGUGCCCACCACUGUGUCAUGGUAUUUUCAAUAUCUUCACCUCCAAAAUCCCACUGGGACAAGAAAUAGAGAUGCCAGAAUAUCACAAGGAAUAUUGCAGAGUAAUCUUGCUCCAAUUGGACAUGGGAGCUACAGGCAAGCACAGAAAUAAUCAGCCCAGCUUUGGUGCCUUUUGCAAUGUAAGUUGCUUUCCCUGUUGGUUGGCUGUGCCUGUUUCAGGGUAA
rnacentral:lncRNA from 1 species